CCCUUAGAUGUUCUGGGCCGCACGCGCGCUACACUGAUGCAUUCAACGAGUCCAACCUUGACCGAGAGGUCCGGGUAAUCUUUGAAACUGCAUCGUGAUGGGGCUAGAUUAUUGCAAUUAUUAAUCUUCAACGAGGAAUGCCUAGUAAGCGUGAUUCAUCAAAUCGCGUUGAUUACGUCCCUGCCCUUUGUACACACCGCCCGUCGCUCCUACCGAUUGAGUGUGUUGGUGAGGAGUUUGGAUUGGCCUCGGAAGGCGGUUCGCCACCGUCCGUAGCUGAGAAGUUCUCCAAACCGCCCCACUUAGAGGAAGGAGAAGUCGUAACA
rnacentral:rRNA from 1 species